rnacentral:rRNA from 1 species
GACGAACGCUGGCGGCGUGCUUAACACAUGCAAGUCGAGCGGUAAGGCCCUUUCGGGGGUACGACGAGCGGCGAACGGGUGAGUAACACGUGGGUGACCUGCCCUCCAGCUCUGGGAGUAAGCCUGGGAAACCGGGGUACCUAAUACCGGGAUAUGACUCCAUGACGCAUGUUGUGGGGUGGAAAGCCUUGUGCGGCUGAGGAUGGGCCCGCGGCCUAUCAGCUUGUUGGUGGGGUGAUGGCCUACCAAGGCGACGACGGGUAGCCGGCCUGAGAGGGCGACCGGCCACACUGGGACUGAGACACGGCCCAGACUCCUACGGGAGGCAGCAGUGGGGAAUCUUGCGCAAUGGGCGAAAGCCUGACGCAGCGACG